UAGGGAAUAUUAGAAAUGGACGAAAGUCUGAUCUAGCAACACCGCCUGUGCGACGAAGGCCUUCGGGUUGUAAAGCACUUUUUGGAAGGAUUAGGAAGGAAUGUACUUCCAGAAUAAGUCUCGGCUAACUACGUGCCAGCAGCCGCGGUAACACGUAGGAGGCAAACGUUAUCCGGAUUUACUGGGCGUAAAGCGCGUGUAGGUGGUUCUUUAAGUAGGGCGUGAAAGCUUCUGGCUCAACUGGGAGAGGCCGUUCUAAACUACAGAACUAGAGGAUGGCAGAGGGAGGUUGAAUUCCAGGUGUAGCGGUGGAAUGCGCAGAUAUCUGGAGGAACACCAGUGGCGAAGGCGGCCUCCUGGACCAUUCCUGACACUCAGACGCGAAAGCUAGGGUAGCAAACG
rnacentral:rRNA from 1 species